rnacentral:piRNA from 1 species
UCCACCUCAAGCCCAUGCUUAGUCCAGC